UGGGGAAUUUUGCGCAAUGGGGGAAACCCUGACGCAGCAACGCCGCGUGGAGGAUGAAGUCCCUUGGGACGUAAACUCCUUUCGAUCGGGACGAUUAUGACGGUACCGGAAGAAGAAGCCCCGGCUAACUUCGUGCCAGCAGCCGCGGUAAUACGAGGGGGGCGAGCGUUGUUCGGAAUUAUUGGGCGUAAAGGGCGCGUAGGCGGUCGGAUAAGUCUUGUGUGAAAUCUUCGGGCUCAACUCGAAGUCUGCACGAGAAACUAUCCGGCUUGAGUGUGGGAGAGGUGAGUGGAAUUCCUGGUGUAGCGGUGAAAUGCGUAGAUAUCAGGAGGAACACCUGUGGCGAAAGCGGCUCACUGGACCACAACUGACGCUGAGGCGCGAAAGCUAGGGGAGCAAACAGGAUUAGAUACCCCCGUAGUCC
rnacentral:rRNA from 1 species